rnacentral:misc_RNA from 1 species
GUAUUGAUCGCGUAUCACCGCAAAAAGAAAAUACAUUCUACACUGCUUUAAAGUUUGUGUGAAAAAACGUGGGCCCCCCCUUCCAGGGGAACUCACGCGGUUGUGCACAAAGGGGUGAGAUGGAUGUGUGAGAGAGUGCUCGGGCGUGCACGACCUUUAAAAGGUCAGCGACAGCCCUUGCACCUCGGUUAUACAAUAAUGAUCCUUCCGCAGGUUCACCUACGGAAA